CCAGGUCCUGUACCCAAACGCCUUAAAUCUCAUGAGCUUCACUGUGAAGGAGACUGUGUGCCCCAGGACGACGCGGCAGCCCCCCGAGGAGUGUGACUUCAAGGAGAACGGGCUGGUGAAGGUGUGCACGGGGACCGUCAAGCUGGACCAGGACAACGGCUACUAUGACUUCAUCUGCUACGAGAACAAGAACUUUGGAUUCAACUCCAAAAGGCUGAAGAAAAGCUUCAAGAGAGGUGGAUACUAGUUAGGGGAGGUGCUGGAGAUAACUGGCGGG